AUUUAAAUAGCUUAUAUAUGUAGAGCAUAAUAUUGAAGAUAUUAAGGAAAUAUAGAAUUAUUUUUAAAUA
rnacentral:tRNA from 1 species